rnacentral:rRNA from 1 species
UACGUAGGGGGCUAGCGUUGUCCGGAAUCAUUGGGCGUAAAGAGCGUGUAGGCGGUCCGGUAAGUCCGUUGUGAAAGUCAAGGGCUCAACCCUUGAAUGCCGGCGGAUACUGUCGGGCUAGAGUCCGGAAGAGGCAAGUGGAAUUCCCGGUGUAGCGGUGAAAUGCGCAGAUAUCGGGAGGAACACCUAUGGCGAAGGCAGCUUGCUGGGACGGUACUGACGCUGAGACGCGAAAGCGUGGGGAGCAAACAGG